CGAGCGGAAUGAUGAAGAAGCUUGCUUCUUCUGAUUUUAGCGGCGGACGGGUGAGUAACACGUGGGCAACCUACCUUGUAGAUUGGGAUAACUCCGGGAAACCGGGGCUAAUACCGAAUAAACCAUUUUGCUUCAUGGCAAGAUGUUGAAAGGCGGCUUCGGCUGUCACUACUAGAUGGGCCCGCGGCGUAUUAGCUAGUUGGUAGGGUAAUGGCCUACCAAGGCGACGAUACGUAGCCGACCUGAGAGGGUGAUCGGCCACACUGGGACUGAGACACGGCCCAGACUCCUACGGGAGGCAGCAGUAGGGAAUCUUCCACAAUGGACGAAAGUCUGAUGGAGCAACGCCGCGUGAGUGAAGAAGGUUUUCGGAUCGUAAAACUCUGUUGUAAGGGAAGAACACGUACGAGAGUAACUGCUCGUACCUUGACGGUACCUUAUUAGAAAGCCACGGCUAACUACGUGCCAGCAGCCGCGGUAAUACGUAGGUGGCAAGCGUUGUCCGGAAUUAUUGGGCGUAAAGCGCGCGCAGGCGGUUCUUUAAGUCUGAUGUGAAAGCCCACGGCUCAACCGUGGAGGGUCAUUGGAAACUGGAGAACUUGAGUACAGA
rnacentral:rRNA from 1 species